ACACAUAGAGUUCACCAGGGUUACACAACCAGGGAGUGAUGGGGUCUGAACUUGGAACCAGAGCCCGUACCCCAGACCCCCAUGCCGCACUGACCCUCUAUCUCCGUCUCCAGGAUGGAAAAGACACAGCGUCGGCCAUCCAGGGGCACGGAGCAUCAGAAGCAAACAGAGAAGGCCCAUCUGUUAUUUCAUUAAGUCCUUCCCCGUAAUCCUAUCAGGCUCUCCCUCCAGCACGUGGCACACCAAGGGUGCCCAGAAGACAAUCUGUAAAUUAAAGUGCUACCAGCCAAAACAACCUCAGCCUGGUUGCUUAGCAGGCCUCGCUCCUCCUUACAAGUGAGAAUGCUCUGGCCAAGCGGGGUUAAGUGGCUUGCCUGGCCAUGGAAUAUCUGAUUCAGAGGUCCGAGCGGUGAUGGGUUCAACUCUAUGGAAGAGAGCCAGAGCAGAGCUGGAAAUCCAUCCUGGGUCCAUGGAAGAGCAUCCCUGCCUUAACGGCUUUACCGUUGAAAAGUUGGAAUGAGAUUCUCCAUGCAUUGUCAGAGCAUUUACAAGUCCACGUCCACCAGAGGCUUUGCUGAGGGUUGCUCCUGGCUGGGUCUCCCUCAUCAGACAGCGUCGGAGGCCAGGUGAACGGAAGGAGCCCACUGAGUCCGGAGAUGCGAAGAGUUGACAGCCUAGACGCGGCCCAUUGCAUCUCUGCCCCUGUGGCUCUGCGGAGGUGGCACGGCAGGCUGCCACGUUGGACGGCUGGUGGUACAUGUGACCUGAGACAAGUGCGGAGAGCGUAGCUUCUCACUCAGCUGGCACACAUCGGAGCAGUCCGCCACCCUCUCUCAGAAGUUGACAUUUGGCAUCCUUUUCGGUGCUGCUUUAUCCAGACAGGCUGCUUUGCCCUGGGGAUAGCCAGAAAGAGAGGGGACUCCCUCCUGAUUUCUAGGAGCCACGGGGGGACACUUAGCCUCCAUUCUGCGCUGGGUCCUUUGGUAGGUGGUUAUUGUGCCAGGGACAAAUAACCUGGUUAUGUCACUUACCCCUCACCCUCCGGGGUGGCCGAUGUGCUCCACGAUUUACUAAGCUGAGGCUUGCAGAUUCUACGUGACGUCCCAAGUCUCAGCAGCAGAGUUGGGUGCUCACUUCCUUCUGGCUCAUUACAAGCCUUGCUUUUCCCACGUGGCUGUGGGGGCCUCACACCAAGGAGACAGUUGGGGCAGAUGGGGCCCAUUUUAGAAGUUGUAUGAAAACGUAUUGUAAGCAAAUUGCCAUUAAUUUUAUUUUAUUUUUUUAAGAUUUAUUUAUUUAUUCAUGAUAGUCACACAGAGAGAGAGAGAGAGAGAGAGAGAGAGGCAGAGACAUAGGCAGAGGGAGAAGCAGGCUCCAUGCACCAGGAGCCCGACGUGGGAUUCGAUCUCGGGUCUCCAGGAUCGCGCCCCGGGCCAAAGGCAGGUGCCAAACUGCUGUGCCACCCAGGGAUCCCAAAUUGCCAUUAAUUUUAAAUGGACUCUGUAACUUUAAUACAUAGGAUAUUUCCAAAAUUCUGGUUUGAAGGUUAACCUGCCACCAUGGAGAUUUUUAUCCAGAGGAAAAAGGAAACAAAGGUGAAAACUCUACCCUACCCCCAAAGGCAAGAGGACAGGUGCUGGCCUGCCAAGUGAGGGGGCUGGAUUUAGCGAUGUGGGAAUUAGCUUCAAGUUGCCACCCAGAGGCUGGGGGUGGGCACAGGGGCCCAAGCCAGGUGUCCAUUCCCUGAGGCUGGGAGGUGACAUGAUGGAUGAGACAGAGUGGCUUGGGCCAUUCCCCCAGGCUGCCCUGGCCUUUUCCACAUGACCUCCACACAGCAGUUCACUCUAACUCAGUGACUUCUCAAAACUGCCGUCUAAAGACCUAAUCUUGGGAAGCUGUAAGUCCCAUACAAACUUUAAAAAUCAUAUUUUAUUUCGAUAGUAUAAAAAUAAUUCUCAAACCGACAUCUAAACACAUGUUCUUUGUUGCAAUGAUAAUAUGCUUUGCUGUAGAGUAAGCCUUUCAAUUUUGUUGUGUCUCCGAUGGGGGCCCGAGCUGAACUCUCUAGAAUGUAUGAAUUAUUUUUUCCUUUAAAUGGAGUCCAUGCACAGUUGGAGUUGAGAAACCCAGUCCUCACAUAAAAUUAUGCUCCCAAGCCCCAGAGAUCAGAAACAGUGAGCAAGUUACACAGAGAGACCCCGGUGGCCUGGCUCCAGGCCUGGAGGCUGUGGGGCGAUAGGAAGGGAAGAAAAAUCUGUUUGUCCCCUUGGCUCCUCUUCCCAACUCUGAGCAAAGCCUGGCUUCAGAAAAGAUGAAACUGGGCUGAGGCGGCGUGGCUGCCGAGCAGGGGCACACAGCAGGGUCCCUGGGGACCCAGCACCCUCCCCCCGCCCCUGUUAAAUGGAAAUAAUUUCCUGACUAGCCCCUGAUUCUUUCUGGGGGUGGCUCGUGGAAUAUUACUGAGUUUCCAGUUUGGCUGCUUCGGUCUGGAACAUCAGAAUUUCAGUUUCAUAUGCAGUAUUAAAUAUUUAGGACUUUGGGUCCAGUGCAUACAUGGAUCUUCUGAGCCUCUGUAGGACUUGGCUGGACACAGACUGCUGAGUUCACCCUUCCAGUAACAGAAAUAUAGUAUUAGUGACAUCCAGUGUUUACUGAGGUCUCACUGUACACUGUCGUCUCCUCUUAUUCUCCGCUAGGAAGAUUAGGGGGUGUUAGCAUCACUCCCUUUUUCUAGAUACCCAAGGCUUGGACAGAUCAAGUGACCUGCCCAAGAUCCCCCAUGCUUGAGCCGUAUCUACAAACUCUUCUGACUACAAACUGUCACGGAAGGAGUUUGCUGAACACCCAUUGUGCACAGAUCCUUUUUUUCUGGGUGUAAUUGGGGAUGGCACGUCCUGCCCUUUAGAAUCACGAUAUCCAAACACCAGCCACUGCUCUCACGUGGCUACUGAGAACUUGAAAUGUGGCUGGUCGUAACUGAGAUGUGCUGUGGGUGCCAAACACGUGCUGGAGUUCAAAGGGGGUGCAAAAAAGAGAACGCAAAACAUUUCAUUAAUAUUUUUAUAUUAAUUGUGUGUUGGUAAUAUUUUACAUAUAUUGGGUUAAAUAUAUUAUUAAACUGCAGCAUGCUGGUUUCUUUCUUAAAAAAGUUUUAUUUAUUUAUUCAUAAGAGACACAGAGAGAGGCAGAGACAUAGGCAGAGGGAGAAGCAGGCUCCUUGCAGGGAGCCUGAUGCAGGACUCCAUCCCGGGAUCCCGGAAUCACGACCUGAGCCAAAGGCAGAUGCUCAACCACUGAGCCACCAGGUGCCCCUUCUUUUUACUUUUUUGUAAACGUGGCCACUAGAAGAUUGAAAACGACAUCCGUGGCUCUUGUUCUUUUUUCUACAGACAGCACUGCCCGAGAAGUUCUGCUGCGCGAGUGCACACUGGUUUGGUCCUGGAUCCUGGGCUGGUUCAGACACUGUCAGUGUUUGGGCAUCUGUCACUGUGGUGAUGAUGAGUCCUGAGAGAGCAGAGGACAGGGUUUGUCCCUCUGCCCCCAAAAGCAAAAAGCAGAGGGCUGCAUACAUGAGAGAAACUUGGGAAGUACAGUCGAUUUUUGUUAUUCGUGGUUGUUAUGUUCUAUAAGGUUGCCGGAUUCCUAAAUACGGAAUCCAGACGACGGAUUCCUAAAUACGGAAACGCUGCUCCUAGGGGAAGUAUAGGGUUAGGUUCCUUGUCAGGUUCUUACGUUGUUGCCAGCUGAUCAAUACAUCACCCUGCUUGGUGUAUGUUUCUGUUUAAAGAUUAUUUAUGCAUAAAUCCAUAUAUAUAUCCAAUAUAUCCACUAUAACUCGUGCCUGGGGACACCUGGGUGGCUCAGUGGUUGGGCAUCUGCCUUUGGCUCAGGUUGUGAUUCCGGGGUCCUGGGAUCGAGUCCCACAUCGGGUUCCCCACAGGGACCCUACUUCUCCCUCUAUGUCUCUGCCUCUCUCUGUGUCUCUCUCAUGAAUAAAUAAAUAAAAUCUUUAAAAAUAUAUAACUCGUGCCUGAAUGAAGCUUAUCUAAUACUCCAUAAGACGCAUCACAGCUCUAUUCAGCUUAGAAACACCAGACAGUAUUACGCUGCUUGGGGGCUAUUUUAAACAGUGAUGUCACCAACAAAAAGUAUGAAAUAUGAAAAAUAUGACACUAGAUAUACCUCCCAAAGGACACUUGUGAAUGUGCGUGCUGAGUGACUCAAAAUUUUUGCUACCCUGCGCACGUCUGCAAACGCCCGCAAAAGCACGACGAAUACUGAUUUGGGGUUACAGAAACAUUUUAGUGAGUGGGUGAAUUGGCAAACACGGAAUCCGCAGAUAAUGAGAAGUGUUUUUACCAGCUUACUAUGGUCAGUGCCAGUGCUCAUCUCCCACUGGCUGCCAGUCUUUUGAUCUCAAAGUCUGCCCUGAGGUUUCUGGUUGUGUCCACUUACCAUCAGCCCACUGCCCCAAGCUGGAGCCGCAGGCCUGGAGGUGCGGGGAGGCCUGGCCUCAGAGGAGAGGAAGAGCAACUGGCGUCCUGCAGUUUGCAACCCACAGGCCGGAUAUUUCACCUCUUCACGCCUCGACUAUGCAGUCUAUAAAAUGGAGGUCACGCUCGUCAUUUCCUCCCUUGUGAAUGCUGUCCUGAAGAUCGGGCGAGGUGACUAUGCAAAGUGCCUUGGAAGCAGCACCUAACACACGGAUGCACAGCGCUCACGUGCUUUCCUGAUCCGCUGUGAGCUGGGGAAGGCAGGACUUGUCGGUGCGCAGGCAUUGAGAACGCAGGCUCUGGACUCAGUUUACCUGGGUUGGGAUCCUGACCCUGUCCCUGAUUGCACUGCGUGAGCUUGGGCCAGUGACUGGAACUCCCCAGGCCUCAAGCGCCCUGUGAGAUGGGGAUGAUACUGACAGUGCAAGGACUCAAUGAGGCUGUGCUGGCAAAGCGCUUGGCACAGAGGAUGCCCAAUAGGUGGUGGCGAGUCUCUAGUGGUAACCGUGCCCUCAUCUGGGCUGAGGGAUGGGGGCAGGGGGAGUCAUGUGAGCCUCAGCGUCUUCAUCUUAAAAGCCAGGAAAUAGUACCUCCUUCAGAUAGUAGGGUAAGAAAUAACCCAGAGCAUAUCAAAGCUGGGCACAUAAGAAAUACUUCACGCUCCUUUCUCUUCCCCCCGUUCUGUUUGAUCCUCCUGGACCUGCAUUUCCUCCCUUGUUAAAGGGGAUUCCUCACUUGUUAAAGGGGAGUAAAAGCACCUGCUCAGCGAGGUGGUUGUCUGAUUGGAUGAGGUGAUUUACCGAGCCCACCAAGCGCAGCGCCCCGCACCUGGGAGUCCUGGAUGGUGAGUCUGUCUGUCCUUCCUCCCGCCUCCCCACCGAGUGGAUCCAACAGGGCUGAGAAGAAACAAAACGGAGCUAACUGCUCAUGGACAAUGGGAAUGUGGGGCAGGCCAGCCUCACUGAUGCCUAAGAGGAAGCCUGGCUUAAGAGAAGGGUUGGGGAGGGCGGGGGUGUCUAGCAGGAGUGGGUUACCCUCUGGGCUAAGGAAUUUGAUUCUCUGGAGAGCUUCAGAUGAAAACAUCUGGGCUGACCUGGGGCAGAUCUGCUGGGUUCGGAGAGAGCUAGCGGGGGUGGCGUCAGGGGGGUCAUUUGUCUUUAGCCUCAGGAGACAAUGAACCCUGGGCCUCCUGAGCAAUGAGACUAGGGACAGGGAGGGAUGUCCCAUGCUCCUUCUGCUUUCUCUCACGCAGCUUCUAAGGAAAUUCCAUUGCAUUGUAUUUACAAGGCAUCCCCAACUGUCAGCUUCCUUGAACACAAUGUAUUUAAUAAAAAGCCAUUAAGCCUUGUAAAGCUGUCAGAAAUCUAAAUGACACUUGUAAUAAAAUCUUGUCGGGUGACCUGUUCCGGUUAAUCAGGUCCAGUGACAUCAUCACCCGCAGAUCUGUCUGGUACCCAAGGCGCUAGGUAUAUUUAGACAGCUUUAUGAUCCACACCGAUUUGAGUUAUUAAAAUUGUACAGUUUUGCAAGGAAUUUGGGAUUUAAUAAAGCAGUGGAGAAACUACAAAAGGAGCAAUAACCUUCCAAAAAGCCAAUCCUCCGUGUGCUGGGGGCGUGUGCUGGGGGCGUGUGCUCGGGCUAGUGGCCAGGCGGAUCCCAUGCCAGGCCCUCACAUGGGUGAUUUUAUGCAUCUACAA